UACGAAGGGGGCUAGCGUUGCUCGGAAUCACUGGGCGUAAAGCGCACGUAGGCGGAUUUUUAAGUCAGGGGUGAAAUCCCGGAGCUCAACUCCGGAACUGCCUUUGAUACUGGGGAUCUCGAGUCCGGGAGAGGUGAGUGGAACUGCGAGUGUAGAGGUGAAAUUCGUAGAUAUUCGCAAGAACACCAGUGGCGAAGGCGGCUCACUGGCCCGGUACUGACGCUGAGGUGCGAAAGCGUGGGGAGCAAACAGGAUUAGAUACCCCCGUAGUCC
rnacentral:rRNA from 1 species